GUUUGGUCUCACAGCUCGCAGCAGGAUGCAACCACCGUGCCUGCGUGUCACUCUUCAGGAGACCCCUGGCCACCUGCUCGAGCAUCCAUCUUUGCUCCCAGCUCGUUAGAAGCACCCUGGGAUUUGCUGUGGAGGAGCAGCAGUCAAUGCGUGCUUUGUUCUUUCUCUGUUCUUGAAAUCUUCACAAUAUCCUAGGAGAAAGAGGGAAGGCAUGCAGGUUUCCCCACACACCGCUGAGGCCCUGGCCAGAUUUACCUCCCCUGGCCUGCACCUCACAGCACUCCCACCCCAGCCCUGGGCUCAUGGGAGCAGGGCCCUGAGUUCUGCCCUUGGCAGCCCUCUUGGAACAGCCAUGUCCUGCACACACUGCCUGAUCCCCAGGCACCCGCUGCUCCGCUCUGCACAGGAGCACACCCUGGCCCUGGGCUUCGGUCUUCAGCCUGCUCUCCCUUAUGCCAGAUUUAACCCUCGUUGUUUCCCUUGUUUCAUCACACAGUUACAAGUAAUGAAGAUGAAACACUUAAAGAUGCGCCUGGAAUUGAAUACUUCCUUCAAGGAGCCGACUUGCUCAUUUGGGAAGCACAUCAUACAAGAAGAUUAUUAGUUAACAUCCAUCUGCAAACAUGGUUUCAAGGGCAUGAAGUUGUCAGGAAGCACUGCUGAGACAGGCUGGCAUCACCAACUGCUGUGACACCGCUGGUGGGAUUUCUAGAGAAAAGUCCUGUUGAGUUUGAUGUAGUUGCAACGUCCUUGUUACUUCGCCAUGCAAUAUAAUAUGUAGAGGUGGGCUGCAUCCAUAUCUACAAGUGGGUUCUUCAGCAAUCACCUGCAAUACAAGCAAAAACAUCCUAAGUGUUUGCAUAUUUGUCAUAGUAUCAUAGAGUCAUAGAAUCCUUAGAGCUGGAAGAGACCUUUAAAGGCCACGUGGUCCAACUGCCCUGCACUGCACAGGGACACCACAGCUGGAUCAGGUUGCCCAGGGCCUGAUCAGCCUGGCCUUGAAAGUCUCCAUGGAUGGGGCAUCCACCACAUCUCUGGGCAACCUGUGCCAGUGCCUCACCACCCUCACUGUGAAAGACUUUUUCCUUAUGCCCAACCUAGAUCUCCCCUCUUUGAGCUUGAAGCCAUUUCCCCUUGUUCUAUCAGACCCUGCUAAAGAGUCUGCCCCCUUCUUUCUCGUAGCUCCUCUUUGGAUACUGACAGGCCAAUUAUUUCCAAUAUUUUAUUUAACAACAUACUGUUGAAAGAAUGAAGAAGGGAAAAUGAAUGAAGAUGAGAUCAGAUACUGGCUACCACUAGAGUGCUACUUUGUUGAUUCAAAGUAGAUAGUAUUUCAGAAACAUAAAACAGCAGAAUUUAGUACAAAAACUCUUCCUGGACACAGGUAAAUAUUUUAUUAGCAUCGAGAUACCAACUGCUGUAACAUUCAUUGAGAAUUUUCUAACAGAGCAGAGUGCAGUGCUGUGAGGCAUCCUG
rnacentral:lncRNA from 1 species